rnacentral:rRNA from 1 species
CGGAGUUCAGACUCGUGGCGAAUAGCUCAGUAACACGUGGCCAAACUACCCUUCGGAACACAAUACCCUCGGGAAACUGAGGCUAAUAGUGUAUACCAUACCACCACUGGAAUGAGUUGGUAUGCCAAACGCUCCGGCGCCGAAGGAUGUGGCUGCGGCCGAUUAGGUAGACGGUGGGGUAACGGCCCACCGUGCCAAUAAUCGGUAUGGGUCAUGAGAGUGAGAACCCAGAGACGGAAUCUGAAGACAAGAUUCCGGGCCCUACGGGGCGCAGCAGGCGCGAAACCUUUACACUGCACGACAGUGCGAUAGGGGGAUCCCAAGUGCACAGGCAUAGCGCCUGUGCUUUUCGGUACCGUAAGGUGGUACCAGAAUAAGGGCUGGGCAAGACCGGUGCCAGCCGCCGCGGUAAUACCGGCAGCCCAAGUGAUGGCCGAUCUUAUUGGGCCUAAAGGGCCGGUAGCUCAAACAGACGCUCUAAGCUUUCCACCCCG